GCUAAAUCCACUGAUACACCAGACCAGUCCGCCCCAACCAAGAAGGGUUUCAUCCAAAGCCUCAAAGGUUUUAUAUGAAUCCUGGUACCUCAGGGGACAGCAUCCACAGCACCAGCACUCAGCCCACAGCUAGCAGCACGGCUGACAUUAAGACACCAGACCUUAUCACUUUCACUGAGGACGAGCCGAGGGAGACCGCUGAAAAUAACCCGGGAGCACAGAAGAGUUUGAUUCUAGAGCUGGUACAGUCGGACCCCCUGUGUCUCCUGGAGCACCAGGCAGCAUGUAAGCAGCAGAAAGGCACCGGGACAUCUUUGACACGUAGCAACAGUGUUGGAGGACCUCUGCAAAGCCUGGACUACUCUCAGAGACCUGGGCAUGGCGUCUCCAC